rnacentral:rRNA from 1 species
CAAGUCGAACGAGACUUUCCGUUGUAGCAAUACGAUGGAAAGUUUAGUGGCGAACGGGUGCUUAACACGUGGGCAACCUGCCAUGAAGUGGGGGAUAGCUCGCCGAAAGGCGAAUUAAUACCGCAUGUGAUUAGAAAGGACAUCCUUUCAAAAUUAAAGUCGGGGCAACCUGACGCUUCUUGUGGGGCCCGCGGCCUAUCAGCUAGUUGGUGAGGUAACGGCUCACCAAGGCUUUGACGGGUAGCUGGUCUGAGAGGACGACCAGCCACACUGGGACUGAGACACGGCCCAGACACCUACGGGUGGCAGCAGUCGAGAAUUUUUGACAAUGGGGGAAACCCUGAUCGAGCGACGCCGCGUGGAGGAUGAAGGUCUUCGGAUUGUAAACUCCUGUCAUUUGGGAACAAGGUGCACACGUUAACUGCGUGUGCAUUGAUAGUACCAGAAGAGGAAGAGACGGCUAACUCUGUGCCAGCAGCCGCGGUAAUACAGAGGUCUCAAGCGUUGUUCGGAUUCAUUGGGCGUAAAGGGUGCGUAGGCGGCGCGGUAAGUCGGGUGUGAAAUCUCGGAGCUUAACUCCGAAACUGCAUUCGAUACUGCCGUGCUUGAGGACUGGAGAGGAGACUGGAAUUUACGGUGUAGCGGUGAAAUGCGUAGAUAUCGUAAGGAAGACCAGUGGCGAAGGCGGGUCUCUGGACAGUUCCUGACGCUGAGGCACGAAGGUCAGGGGAGCAAACGGGAUUAGAUACCCCGGUAGUCCUGACAGUAAACGGUGCACGUUUGGUGUGGGAGGAUUCGACCCCUUCUGCGCCGGAGCUAACGCGUUAAACGUGCCGCCUGGGGAGUACGGUCGC